rnacentral:rRNA from 1 species
UAGGGAAUCUUCGGCAAUGGACGAAAGUCUGACCGAGCAACGCCGCGUGAGUGAAGAAGGUUUUCGGAUCGUAAAACUCUGUUGUUAGAGAAGAACAAGGACGUUAGUAACUGAACGUCCUCUGACGGUAUCUAACCAGAAAGCCACGGCUAACUACGUGUUAGCAGCCGCGGUAAUACGUAGGUGGCAUGCGUUGUCCGGAUUUAUUGGUCGUAAAGCGAGCGCAGGCGGUUUCUUAAGUCGGAUGUGAAAGCCCCCGGCUCAACCGGGGAGGGUGAUUGGAAACUGGGAGACUUGAGUGCAGAAGAGGGGGGUGGAGUUCCGUGUGUGGCGGUGAAAUGCGUAGAUAUAUGGAGGAAAACCGGUGGCGAAGGCGGCUCUGUGGUCUGUAACUGACGCUGAGGCUCGAAAGCGUGGGGAGCAAACAGG